AUUGCACCUGCGUCUAAAGCAAUCAGUGACCCCAGAGUUGUUUGAGAAUCUCUGUUGGCCUUUGUUGUCACAUGUGUUUCUCAGGCCUAUGAUCACUUUAUUUAAACUCAUCUGAACUCAUUUUUUGCCAGUGCAAAGGGCUUUUGCAACAUUAUCUGAAUGGGAAGAAAGGUUGGAUGCAAGCAGCAUUCCCCCUGGAGUUAAGCAUGUCUAUCUGAUAUCACUACUGCUUUGGUACGGAGUUUCUGUCUUGAAUUUGGAUCCUUCACAUUCCCUGUGUGAGACCUCUGUAUUGUAAAGGGACAGACACUCCUGGCAUGGGACUCUCUGGCAAAUAACAGACCAGUGGUGAUUAGGAAUCUUUAAUGCAAAUAGUUCUGCAAGUGCUGAGGGAUUUUUACUGGCUGACUUCCUGAAACAGAAGAAAAUCUGCAAACGGAAUUCCCUCGUAGUAUUUGGAAUACACAGCAGAGGUUAUGGACUCUCCAGAGACACCAGAAUUCCUGGGCUGCAGAAAUUAUUGGCCCCAACUGAGAUCAGGCCUCUCAUUCAGGCCCAUGUUCCACAGAAUCCAGGUCUUCUAACUCCAGUCCAGUGACCUAGUUACCAGACCAUGUGGCCACCAAGUCCUCUACCUCCUUUGAGCAUAAAACAAAAGCAAGGUGAGCACUCAG